ACUCUACAGUAGCCGCGCGGCCAGGGUAACCGCGGGCUCGCGUGGGUGCUGCUGGCUACCUGUACAACUUCGUGCUCCGGCGUCACCAGCUAGCUAAAUCCUCGCAACGGUUCUGGGCGAUAGGGGCCGUUUUUGUCCCCCUUCUUCAGCAGAUGAGGGAAUUUGUUUCAAAAAGUUGUUACCUGCUCACGGAAACAGACGUCCUAAGCUAUUAACACAAUCUCCAGCUGUGUUCUAACCAAGACAGGAACCGAAGGGAACAGUAAAAAAUCAUUUUCCGCAUCCUUUUUAAGAUGCUUGAUGUCCAGGACUUUGAAACAGCUGAUUUCUUUUUAACCACCUCUCAAUAGGAUUCAUGGAAAAAACUCUGACAAGCACAGAUUUCUGAAAACUUUAAGGUCAUACCACUGGACUCGAGAAAUAUUACUGAACACUUGUUCUGAAGGCUGAUCCUAGACAGCAAGACUCAGAGAAUUGAGAGAAGACAAAAACAUUCAUCUAAUCGGGGCGGCUGGGUGGGGUGAAGUGAACCCAGCCUGAUUACCCUUAGCAUCUAACUCCACAGAAACUCUGCUCUCUAUUUUCUCAAUCUUCUCCAAUUCUUUAUGAAGGGGUUCAGGAAAUGCCGCCCCAAAAUAUGGUGCUUUGGUGUAAUACUUUGAGCUGAAGACACUUGAAAACAGUAUAUGCAGGGAGACGCUUUCUCUGAACUCCCCUUAUCUGUCUAAAGAUAGAUACCGCAAAGGAACUCAAUUUGUCAUCAAUUUUCCAUCAGUGAAACUCUUCCAGGAGUUUCAUCCACCAGUGAAGCUUAUCUCAAUCACAAGAGAAGAGACUAGAAGCCCACACCACACUUAGACAAAUGUCACAAACGAUCAUCUGUUCUUCUAAGGGCCAUUCAUCUUUUCCCAAAAUCAUUUACUCUGCCUGAAAUUGGCUACAUCCCUGGCUUCCUUCUCGCCUAUGUAGAGGGUAUAUAAGCUCCUAAAUCUCCCGGUUUUUCAGGAGGCCCAUUGUCACCAGAAGUGUAUAGUUUCUAACAGAUUUAUACAUUGGAAGUUGAUUUUGCUCCUAAUUUCAACAUGCCUAAUGAAAUAAAUAAUCAAAACAGUCUAAAAUUCUUCCUCCUCUCUGCCUCCUGCAAAAAGACAGCGUCUGGUAUUGUCCACCCAAGCUGGAGUGCAGUAGUAUGAACUUGGCUCACCGCAACCUCCGCUUCCUGGGCUCAAGCCAUCCUCCCACCUCAGCCUCUCAAGUAGCUGGGACUACAAGCUCACAUAACCACACCCUACUAAUUUUUGUAUUUCUUGUAGACAUGGGUUUUCAUGUUGCCCAGGAUGGUCUCAAACUCCUGAGCUCAAGCGAUCUGCCUGCCUUGGCCCCCCAAAGUGUGGAGAUUACAGGCAUGAGCCACUGCACCUGGCUGAUUUAAUAAAAUAUCUUGUAAUCAAU
rnacentral:lncRNA from 1 species